UUCAAAGCCUUUCUUAAGCAGAGUGGAACUCUUCUGAUUCCUGUAGUUUUCAUUUGUCAAAAACCUUCUGUUGUCAAUCAGAUGAGGUGGGGAGAUGGAUCCCCACGGUGGCAUUUUGCCUCUUGUUUAUGCAUCAUUAGAGGUCAUCAGGAAAUGACAGCUGGUAUCAUCUGGUGCUGCCAGUGCUCCUCUUCCUCCUAACGGGUACAUUCCUGUAAGUCUCUGUUUUAUUUGUACAGGAGUCUUACUCAGUUGUUAAAUGAGCAGGUCCUCCUUACACCAAGAAAUUUGUCAAAGACAUGAGGAGGCUUAUGAACGUCUGGGACAUGCGGACCCUGAGGAGCACUGGUCAGCAGCUGGCACCUCUGUGAAGAGCAUUUAAACAGGAUAUAAGCAGAAGAAGGACCUGGAGAACAGGUUGGCCUCUAUGAAAAAUUCUGUGGACA